rnacentral:lncRNA from 1 species
AUGAAGAAAGAGACUGAGGGUCUGAGAGACUGUAGAACUUGUGCAAGGUCUGGAAGGUGGGCAGCGUCAAAACUGGGCUUGGAGCCACAUCUCCAUCUCCUAACCCCAGACCUCUCUGGUUGUCUCCCCUUCUGCCCUGGAGGAAAUCCAGAGUCGGGGAGGAAGUGUUGGUGUUGGCAUCAUGCAAACUCUGUCCCACUCAUCCACGGCAGCAUGGUAGCCCCUGGACUCCGCCGGACACAGAGGCCGAGUGAAAGAUGCGAAGGCUCCUAGGAGACACCUGGCCACAGAGUGAAAGAAGGGGAGGAAACCGAGGGUAAGAUCUGGGGGGGAGUCCCUGCCUCAGCCCUACUCUGUGGCAGCUCUCAGGUGCAAAUCACAGCCCCCACUUUGUCCUGCCCCAAAGCAAGGAGGCUGGGGUUCCCCUUACCUCACCAAGGGUGAGGCCACAGGCUCCCCUGGGAAGGGGUGCAGGGACGGCUCUUCCUCAGGGCAGGAGGUGCUCCAGGAGCCCAAGUGGAGCCCUAGAGCACACAGCAGCUGGGGCAGGGGUGCAAAAGCUUGUUACCAGUCUGUGGUGGGAGCGUGGAGGGGCAUCAAUACUGCCCUCUAUGGUGUCCCCCUCCUGGUUUCCUCUGGGGACCCACUGCUCCCCCACCC